CAGUCCAAGCAAAGCGUCCGGCCGGAGAAGAGGUUUGCGGCGGAGAAAGUGGGAGCCCACGACGGCAGGGAAACCCUUUGAGGCGCGGCGACGGUGGGCGACGCGUCUCAGCUCCGCGGCGUCCGACGCGUCUUCGCUCUAUGGCGGGCGGCGCGAUUAUUUCUGCACGUGGAGGUGGAGCGACAGUUGCAGUGGUGGCCGGCGUGUCCGGACUCCACGGCAAGAGGCAGCGGCGGAUGGUGUUGUGUCGGCGAGGAGGUGUGGCGCGGGGUUGACGGCCGCGGCGGAGUGGACGAGAUGACCCUGUGCUCACCGGUAAUGCAGACGGUGGGAAGAUCCAUAGUAGUGGCGGCGGUGCUUCGACGUAUUGACCCAGGGAGAGGAGGGAUCGCUGCUGCUGCUAGCUGUUUGGCCGCUUGCACCCGCUACCUCUGGCUUUGGAUGCUUGGGGUUGGUGGGGUUGGGGCCUGAGCAUCCUACUAGAUCGGUCGCCGCUCGCCAGAUCGAGUUCCUCCGGCAGUCUGGCUGCUACCUCCGCCGCUCAGUCACCGGCGGCAGGUCGUCAUCUGCCCUAAACUGAAUCGGGAACAUGAUCGGUGGCCGCUCGCCAUGAUGCGUCCAAUACGCGCAGAGGAGCAGUGGACUAAACACCUAAACGACUGCCGACAAACUGAAUCGGGAACAAAUCAACUGCUCUCAUCUCGACUGGGCAGGUGUGGCCUUUUUCUAUCCCCACGAAGGCGGCUAGGGAGAGGGAGGAUGGCAAUGUAAGGGAGGACGUCGCUGGCAAUACGACGCAUCUCCCGGCAAAGCUUUCGUUGGGAGAACCACGACCCCUACAUCCUUCACUGAUUCUGCAUUUGACUCUCAGGCAACGACAACCUACAACAUCAAGAUGUUGAGGUGCGACCUCAAAAUCUUGGAUUUUAUGGUAUGAGAUACUUGCGCCGGUGGCAACAACGACUAGAUAGGUGCACUAGGUUUCUGUUGUUGUCCAUGGCGUGCUACAGGUGUGCUCCGAUUA